rnacentral:rRNA from 1 species
UAAGACGAACCGUGCGAACGUUGUUCGGAUUCACUGGGCUUAAAGGGCGCGUAGGCGGGCAGGCGAGUCAGGGGUGAAAUCCCCCGGCCCAACCGGGGGACUGCCCCUGAGACCGCCUGCCUCGAGGGGGGUAGGGGCACGCGGAACUUCCGGUGGAGCGGUGAAAUGCGUAGAGAUCGGAAGGAACGCCGGUGGCGAAAGCGGCGUGCUGGGCCCCUUCUGACGCUGAGGCGCGAAAGCCAGGGGAGCGAACGGGAUUAGAUACCCCGGUAGUCCUGGCCCUAAACGAUGGGCACCAGGCCGUGGUCCUGCAUGGGGUCACAGCCGAGGCAAAAGUGUUAAGUGCCCCGCCUGGGGAGUAUGGUCGCAAGGCUG